rnacentral:rRNA from 1 species
GGCCUACCAUGGNNGUAACGGGUAACGGGGUGUUAGGGCACGACACCGGAGAGGGAGCCUGAGAAACGGCUACCACAUCCAAGGAUGGCAGCAGGCGCGCAAAUUACCCAAUCCCGACACGGGGAGGUAGUGACAAUAAAUAACAAUACGGGGUUCUUUCGGAUCUCGUAAUUGGAAUGAGUACAAUUUAAAUCUCUUAACGAGGAACAAUUGGGGGGCAAGUCUGGUGCCAGCAGCCGCGGUAAUUCCAGCUCCAAUAGCGUAUAUUAAAGUUGUUGCAGUUAAAAAGCUCGUAGUUGAAUUUCGGGGUUAGUAGGCUGGUCAUGCCUCUGGUAUGUACUGGUCUCACUGAUUCCUCCUUCCUGAUGAACCGUAAUGCCAUUAAUUUGGUGUUGCGGGGAAUUUGGACUGUUACUUUGAAAAAAUUAGAGUGUUUAAAGCAAGCUAACGCUUGAAUACAUUAGCAUGGAAUAAUGAAAUAGGACGUUCGAUCCUAUUUUGUUGGUUUCUAGGAUUGACGUAAUGAUUAAUAGGGAUAGUUGGGGGCAUUAGUAUUCAAUUGUCAGAGGUGGAAUUCUUGGAUUUAUUGAAGACUAACUACUGCGAAAGCAUUUGCCAAGGAUGUUUUCAUUAAUCAAGAACGAAAGUUAGGGGAUCGAAGACGAUCAGAUACCGUCGUAGUCUUAACCAUAAACUAUGCCGACUAGGGAUCGGAUGAUGUUAAUUUUUUAAUGACUCAUUCGGCGCCUUACGGGAAACCAAAGUGUUUGGGUUC